UACGGAGGGUGCAAGCGUUAUCCGGAUUCACUGGGUUUAAAGGGUGCGUAGGCGGACAGGUAAGUCAGUGGUGAAAUCUCUGGGCUUAACUCAGAAACUGCCGUUGAUACUAUUUGUCUUGAAUAUCUUGGAGGUAGACGGCGAAUAUGUCAUGUAGCGGUGAAAUGCUUAGAUAUGACAUAGAACACCGAUAGCGAAGGCAAGCUUACUACAGGAAGAUUGACGCUGAGGCACGGAAAGCGUGGGGAGCAAACAGGG
rnacentral:rRNA from 1 species